UAGGGAAUCUUCCACAAUGGACGCAAGUCUGAUGGAGCAACGCCGCGUGAGUGAAGAAGGUCUUCGGAUCGUAAAACUCUGUUGUAAGAGAAGAACGUGUGUGAGAGUGGAAAGUUCACACAGUGACGGUAACUUACCAGAAAGGGACGGCUAACUACGCGCCAG
rnacentral:rRNA from 1 species